CCAAUAGCGUAUAUUAAAGUUGUUGCAGUUAAAAAGCUCGUAGUUGAACUUCGGGGUUCACCCAUUGGUCAGGCUUAAUUGUCUGCACUGGUGAGAUGAGUCUCUACCUUCUGAGGAACUUUCAUGCCAUUUAUUUGGUGUGGUUGGAAAUCAGGACUGUUACUUUGAAAAAAUUAGAGUGUUUAAAGCAGGCUAACGUCUGAAUACAUUAGCAUGGAAUAAUGAAAUAGGACGGACUGAUUCUAUUUCGUUGGUUUCUAGGAUCACCGUAAUGAUUAAUAGGGAUAGUUGGGGGCAUUAGUAUUCAAUUGUCAGAGGUGAAAUUCUUGGAUUUAUUGAAGACUAACUACUGCGAAAGCAUUUGCCAAGGAUGUUUUCAUUAAUCAAGAACGAAAGUUAGGGGAUCGAAGACGAUCAGAUACCGUCGUAGUCUUAACCAUAAACUAUGCCGACUAGGGAUCGGACGAAGUUAAUUUUAUAAUGACGCGUUCGGCACCUUACG
rnacentral:rRNA from 1 species